UAUUAGAGGCACUGCCUGCCCAGUGACAUGCGUUUAACGGCCGCGGUAUUCUGACCGUGCAAAGGUAGCAUAAUCAUUUGUUCCUUAAUUAGGGACUAGUAUGAAAGGCUUGACGAGGGUUUUACUGUCUCUUGUUUCCAAUCAGUGAAAUUGACCUUCCCGUGAAGAGGCGGGGAUAAUAAUAUAAGACGAGAAGACCCUGUGGAGCUUAAAUUACUGGCCCAACUAUAUCCAAUUAGCCCCUCAGGGCCAACAUAUAAUAAACUGGGCUAAAAAUUUCGGUUGGGGUGACCUCGGAGUAAAAGAAAUCCUCCGAAUGAUUUAUAACCAGACCUAACAAGUCAAGUUAGUAACUCAUCAUCAAUUGAUCCAAGAAAUUGAUCAACGGAACAAGUUACCCCAGGGAUAACAGCGCAAUCCUAUUUUAGAGUUCAUAUCGACAAUAGGGUUUACGACCUCGAUGUUGGAUCAGGACAUCCAAAUGGCGC
rnacentral:rRNA from 1 species